CGGUGAAUUCGACCGUGGUUUUG
rnacentral:miRNA from 11 species